rnacentral:lncRNA from 1 species
CUCCUACCUCAUCUUGUGACUAAGAACACCUUAACCUUCUGGGAAUGCAGCCCGGGCUUUCCACACAUUUUAUUGUGAUGAAACUGGAAGAAGCUUUCCUUAAGUAAAGGAAACAUUAGAAGAAACUCAUCACGGGGCCGGGCGCGGUGGCUCACGCCUGGAAUCCCAGCACUUUGGAAGGCGGAGGCGGGCGGAUCACGAGCAAAGGCCCCAUGGAAUAUCUGCAAUACCCUGAAGACCAUGAUGUUCAGCAGCAACAAGGAAGUGCCACAAGAAAGCAUAACCAUUGAUCAUUGACAAAAUGACUUGGCUCUAUCUGGAUUUAUGUAAGAAAUCCUUUUGUAAGGAUCUUUGCAAAUUUUCCUUGGUAAGACCAAGAUUUCUAGUACUAGCAAGUAUGAAGGAGGCAUGUUUAAGGUUUUUUUUCCCCAUAUGUAUAUGAAAAUGUCAAUUGUUUUUAUCCUUUAGUGCUCAAAGUAGUUUUUACGUAAAAAUAUGAUCCUAGUUAGAAAUUUAAAUUUGGUGAAGGAACAAAAGUGUUCCUGUAUAUUAAGUCAAGACUUCGCGAAUCUUUUCAAUUUAGCUUUGUCAGUCUUUUCCUGUGUGCUCCCCUAAUCUCCAUAGAGGCUUGAGGCUAAAGUUGUGACUAACGAAGUACUUAACAGAAUGAUUAAGCAGUGAAAGUCAUCUGGUUUCCCUAAAGCAGAAUGUAAAUUCAUUCCUAGUGGAAAUCAUGGCUUUCAAUCUCAAAAUACCUUGUGAAUUCAUAAAUCAACAUCUCUGGCACGUCAAUAUUUGAACCAAUUUAGGGAGUAUUUCUCAUGAUGACCAACCUACAACUAAGAAAUAAGUUAUUUUUCUUAAUAACUAAGAAAUAUAGUUAUUUAAUUUUUAAUGUUUA